CUUGGGGACAGAGACAGAGGAGGGGAGAGUGACAGAAGGGAAGACAGAGUGCAUAGAGUCAGACAGUCAGAAAGAAGACAGGAUCAGGAACCACGAAGAGCCUGCUGCCCCUGCUCCAGGUGUCUUCACUAAGUUCAACCAAGCCCUGCCUCUGAGACUGAGAAAAGUCAUCCAUCGAAAAGCCAUCAACAAACACAACAGAAAUUAGAGCCAGAAAGAAAGAGAGGGAGAGAAGGAAAGAGGCAGAUACAUAAUUUAUGGAAUGGCAGAGUAUGAGUGACAGGCAGCAGCUGGAGGCCUUGGCACCUUAUUGAUUCUUUCAAAAAUCUCGAGAAAGGACCCCAUGCUGAGGGCCAGGGGAGGCAUGGAAGGUGCAGGCAGGGGUAAGGCCAUUAAGGACGCACUGUGACCAAGUGGGCUGCUGGGGGUGGGCAGGGGGGCUAUGGCAGGUGAGCCACACUUGCGUGCCUCCAAUCGAUGAC
rnacentral:lncRNA from 1 species